CGGAAGCCAAAACUCCUAGAAGAUAACGGAUCAGUCAGGACUACAUCGCACCUGGUUGAUCAUUUUCUAUCAAUGAUUAUCGAUAAAUCAGUGAAGUUUCAGGAAAAAAGUAAAACACCUAGGGAAAGAUUACACAUCACCCAAAACACGACAUUACCAUCCAAGAAUGAGUAAACGUCAGUAAAAUGGAAAGGCGGACAGAAGACGAUAAAUUGAGAAAAACAGAAGCGGCACCCUAGGACUGCGGAGAUAACCCAUUAGUGGAAGCGUAAUUUAUCAUACAAGUAUUGGGUGAGCUGUCAGCAACAAACGAACACGACCAUAGUGUGAGUACGAGUCAAAAUGUAUCAGUAAACCCAUGGCAGUGGAAUAUGUAAAACUUCAGUGUUCAGUCGGCUCAAUAAGGCAGCUCUGAUGGCGGUCAGAAAACCACAGGAAACGCCGACAAACGUCAUGAGAAUACCUCUAGAUGGGGACUAAUUUGGCUGCUAUCGAUCAUUGCACUAACCUUCAAUCAUGCACCCAAUCAACAGAUUAAGCCAACAGAAAAGUGAACCACGUCGAUCACGUUCCUCAUGUAACGACGCCAGACAUGGGAAAGAGCCGGCCACGCGCUUGAUUUAUUUUCCGCACAGUUAAUAAAUGUGUUAAUAAACAAAUAAUAAAAUUACAAACGAAAUACGCUGAAGCAAACGUU